GGGGCUGACUUGGAUUUCGACAGAUUUCUUGUCGCACAGAUAGCAUGCCAAGCGCUGCUUGUAAAACAGCAACAAAAAUAACUGUAAACAACGCAGAUUACGCUCCAGCUUACGCUAAAGCUGCGUGAGUUAAUCUCCUUUUGGAGCUGGACUGAUUAGAAUUUCUAGCGUUUUAAUCACUCCAUAACCUUAAGCUAGACGCUUUUAAAAGGUGGUUCGCCUUUUAAAAUAAGAAACAAGAACUCUUGAAACUACCUCAAGGUUUUAGAAAGUUGGACCAGAGCUAGUUUUAAGGCUAAAAAAUUAACCAAUUUUCUAAGCAUUGUAGAAGUUUGUGUUUAGGACAAGAUUUUUGGACUGGGGUUCGAUUCCCCACAGCUCCACCA
rnacentral:tmRNA from 1 species